rnacentral:lncRNA from 1 species
GUUCAAGUUUGAAAUAUACUGGGCUGGGGUAUUCUCAAAAAAGUGCAACCAGGAUGAUAAAGUAAACUAGAGUGGAUUAAAGGAACUGAGAAUUGGCUCAGAGAAGAGAAGACCUUGGAUGUAGACGAGAGUUGUCUUCAGUUACAGUAUUUGGGAAAGAAGGAUUAUAUUUUUUCCAUGUCACUUCAGAAGGUAGGAGUAAGAUCAAUGGGAAAUGUUAAGAAUGAAAAUUGCAUUCAUCCUACAAAGAAGUUUCCUAAAUCAUUACGAAUUGUUCUACCUUGAGUGUAGUGAGUUAUCUGACACUGGAGGAUUUAAACCAAUGGUAGAUCAUUACAUAGUAGAGAUAUGAACAUGAGCUAAAGCAUGAGGGCAGCAAAGAGGGGAGAACUUUGUUUCACCUAAAUGGCUCUUCAAACCUUUUUUAGCAUUAGUUUCUGCUUUGAUAUACUCUAUUAAAAUUUGGGGGAUAAUUGAUAAAUCUUCCAGGUGGUUUAUGGAUGGCCAGGGAGGAAAUUUGCCAUUGUUUUAAUUAUUUAAUUUUAUUUGCCUCUGUUUUUACACUUGGUAAAAAUUUGGAAGUGUUUCAGAUAGUGAAGAAAAAAAAGAAUUAAGAAAAACAUUCCAGGCCAGGUACAGGCUCAUGCCUGUAAUCCCAGCACUUUGGGAGGCUGAGGCAGGCAUAUUUCUUGAGCUCAGGAAUUUGACACCAGCCUGGCCAACAUGGUGAAACUCCAGCUCUACAAAAAUACAAAAAUUAGCCGGGUGUUGGUGGCUCGCGCCUGUAGUCUCAGCUACUUGGGAGGCCAAGGCAAGAGAAUGGCUUGUGCCCGGGAGGCAGAGGUUGCAGUGAGUCAAGAUUGAACCACUCCACUCCAGCCUGGGUGACAGAACAAGACGCUCUCUCAAAAAAAAAAAAAAAAAAAUCCAUACUUCCUCCUCCUAAUCAUUGAUAGGUAUCCUUCCUUUUUUUUUGUUGUUUUUUUGUUUAGUUUUGUUUUGUUUUUUGCCUACGAGUAUGUAAGUUCACAUUUAUGUAAAAUUUAUUUCUCAUAGUAUAUGCUAUUUAUAACCAUUUUCCAGUUAAUAUGUCAUGAGCAAUGUAUAUAGUUGUUAAAUAUUUGUACACAAUAUAAUUUUUAUUGAUGUAUAUUUCCUCAUUUCUUUUUUAAGUAGCAAACCAUUUCCUCCCAGUCUUCCCUUAGUUUUUUAUAAUCUCUCAAAUAAGUACUAAAUUUUCAGUUUUGCAGUGCUGUACUAUAAAUCACAGGCAGUAGUACUUUGCUUUUUACAACAGAUUAGUCUCUGUAUGUGUAUCCAUUUAUUUCUCAAACACUUAUAUAAGUGAUAAAUUGGCUGUGAUCAUUUCAGUUUGUUUUAAUCCUGUGGAUAUAAUAUUUUUCUUUAGUUUUUGAAGAAUUUAUUUUAGAAAAGCUUUAUUACUUUACAAAGUUUUCUUAUCAGGGGACAAUUGGUAAUUAUUAUACUCUGUGUAGCAAUUGUGUUAUAUCUAAUCUCUUUCCCUUUAAAGCCUGAAUGCUUCCAACUUUAUAAUUUGCUUUAGAGAGCCCAGUUUACCCUAUGGCUGACAAAUAGCAAACUUAGGAUAUGAUGCAAGAUAGAACAUGAUAAUGAUUCAAAACAGAACCAUAAGCAGGUAUUUUUGCUAUUUAUAAUAAUAUUUUGAGUGUAUCUAGUACCUUUUAAAUAAUAUAGUUUAAUGGAAGAAUAUAGUACAGUGGUAUAUUUUAUAGUCUAUGUAUGGCUCUGAAGUGUAUCCAGAGUUUACUUUUUAACCUUAAAUAAAUAGAUGAUUAGAAAUAGCAUUAAGUGUAUUUGACAAACCUAUAAAUUUCCCGUAAAGAAAUAAGCAAGUGUAUGUAUUGUAAAAGACAGUCUUUCCUCUGACUUAAUGUUGUAUCAGGGGCAUUUAGAGUCUACAAGAACCUAAAGUAAAUUUUAUGAAAUAUCUAGUGCAAAAUCUUUGGGAAAUUUCAAAAUUUAUGCUGAAAUCACCAUAUUUGUUUCCUUUGGUUUCUCUAACAAACCAAAAGAUCAACAUUGUCUCAUGCGAUUUAUCUUCUCAUUCCUUCCUAAAAAUAUUUCUGGAAAAUUAAUGGAGCUGGACCACCAAUUCUUCAAAUAUUGAAAACUCAAAAUCUAAGAGUUAUUUUAAUCUUGAAAUUAAUGAAAACAAGUUAAAGAGCCUUGUCUAAGUCAAAAAGUCCUCAGCAAAGCUGGUGAUAAUUAUUAUACUCCAAAAAAGGUGAAAAGAUAAUGGCUUCAAAUCCUGCCUUACAUUAUCCAGUCAAAAACUAAUAUAAAAAUAGUCAAUAUUUAAGCCUAUGUUUUCAUCGUAAGUAAUCAAAUACUUACAUAUUAUUAAUGUCUAAGGGAGUGGAAGUUAAAACAAUGAAAUUCAAUCGGGUCUUCUUUAAUAUUUACAAUUUUUGCUUUACAUUAGCAAUUCAGGUUUCACUGAUUUUAAAAUUGUGAACAAUCUGAAUUUGUGUGGAUUUAUUUGUGGUAGUUAAAAGUAAAUAUUAAGUGCAAGCUAUUUGCCAAGAGUGUUCUAGGUGCUAUGUUUGAUUUAGGAGGUAUAAUUCAAACAUGAGAAGUAGGAAAAGAUCCCUCAGAUCCCUGUCCUCAGAAGAAUUGACGGUACUUUCAGAGAUAUCGACAACAUAAAAGUACUAUGAGAGGAAAGCAGCGGUGCCUGAGGUGGGAGUGAUAGCUAGAUAAAUUAUUAGUGAACCAAGGUUUUCAGAUGUAAUGUUUGUCUACUCAAAAAGGGAAUCAAUUCUCUAAGAAUUUAAACCCAUAUAAUACUAUGAAUGUUAAACCAGUUGGGUUUAUGGUAUUAAUGAUUUAAUACAGCAACACUGACAAAAUCUCUUUUUCUCCCUUUAGUUCCAGUUAGUAAAUAUCAUAUUUUUUACUAUUUCAGAUGCCCCGUCUCUGACUGCCAAGGUGGUAAAUUAUCACAUUUUACUGUAUAUUCAAAUGUUAAUUACUAAAUGGCAUAAUUUUAACAAUUAAAUUUACUAUUUUGUGAGCCAACUAACAACAAUGAUGUUAAGCAUAGGAUGCCCAAUAUAAUAAUAAGCACCUUGUAUGUACAGAAGAUUUUACAUGCACAAAUUCAUUUAAUCCACACAAAUCCGAAGUUUCAGGUCUGUUUUACAAAUUUUGUAUGCCCAAUGCUUAGAGAGAUCAAGUAAUUUGAUAAUACUCUUAUAGGGAGGAUCCAAACCCAUGGUUUUAUGUAUAUUUGUUUGUUUGUUUUUUGCUUUUACUUUAGAACAGUUUCUAUACAUUGUACAGGUUGGAUUGGGACAGAAAAUAAAAUUUAGAAGCUGUUUUUAUUGUCAACAAUCUUAUAAUUAAAUAUAUCUGCAAAAUAUAAAUAUAAAACAAGUAGUCUUUAUUAUCUGGAAAUAAAUGUGAAGAGCAUAUUUAAGCAAGUGAUGAAUAAAUUAGAAAAUAUGCAGGCAGUAAAAAAUGGUUAAUAUCAGUCAUGAAUUUAAUUUUCUAAUUUAUUUUUGAAAGCCAUAAUCUUCAUAAAAUAAUUCUAGAAUUUUUUUCUUCAGCCAAUCAACAGAGAUCAUCCUUUUAAUUUGAAACUUGUUUUUAUUUUUAAGAUCCCUUUGUUGAUCUAGCAAGUGGCCAAGUUCCUUUGCCUCCUGCUAGAAGGUUACCAGGUGAAAAUGUCAAAACUAACAGAACAUCACAGGACUAUGAUCAGCUUCCUUCAUGUUCAGAUGGUUCACAGGCACCAGCCAGACCCCCUAAACCACGACCGCGCAGGACUGCACCAGAAAUUCACCACAGAAAACCCCAUGGGCCUGAGGCGGCAUUGGAAAAUGUCGAUGCAAAAAUUGCAAAACUCAUGGGAGAGGGUUAUGCCUUUGAAGAGGUGAAGAGAGCCUUAGAGAUAGCCCAGAAUAAUGUCGAAGUUGCCCGGAGCAUCCUCCGAGAAUUUGCCUUCCCUCCUCCAGUAUCCCCACGUCUAAAUCUAUAGCAGCCAGAACUGUAGACACCAAAAUGGAAAGCAAUCGAUGUAUUCCAAGAGUGUGGAAAUAAAGAGAACUGAGAUGGAAUUCAAGAGAGAAGUGUCUCCUCCUCGUGUAGCAGCUUGAGAAGAGGCUUGGGAGUGCAGCUUCUCAAAGGAGACCGAUGCUUGCUCAGGAUGUCGACAGCUGUGGCUUCCUUGUUUUUGCUAGCCAUAUUUUUAAAUCAGGGUUGAACUGACAAAAAUAAUUUAAAGACGUUUACUUCCCUUGAACUUUGAACCUGUGAAAUGCUUUACCUUGUUUACAGUUUGGCAAAGUUGCAGUUUGUUCUUGUUUUUAGUUUAGUUUUGUUUUGGUGUUUUGAUACCUGUACUGUGUUCUUCACAGACCCUUUGUAGCGUGGUCAGGUCUGCUGUAACAUUUCCCACCAACUCUCUUGCUGUCCACAUCAACAGCUAAAUCAUUUAUUCAUAUGGAUCUCUACCAUCCCCAUGCCUUGCCCAGGUCCAGUUCCAUUUCUCUCAUUCACAAGAUGCUUUGAAGGUUCUGAUUUUCAACUGAUCAAACUAAUGCAAAAAAAAAAAAGUAUGUAUUCUUCACUACUGAGUUUCUUCUUUGGAAACCAUCACUAUUGAGAGAUGGGAAAAACCUGAAUGUAUAAAGCAUUUAUUUGUCAAUAAACUGCCUUUUGUAAGGGGUUUUCACAUAA